CUGACAUCUUCUUACAGUGACCUUGGACAAGUUGCUCCUGCCUUGUAGGGCUCAGUCUUCCAAGUCAGAAGACAGGAGGAGAUAAUGUCCACCAUUCUCUGGCUGCCUCGGAGUAUAAUGCAGCCUUUGUGGCCCCCGUCUCUGCUCUGCCUCCUGCCACCAGGCCGACUUCUGACACACAAGCCUUCUGUCAACGCCAGGGAGAAGAGUAGGAGUGAGAGAGCGGGCACUAGCCAGCUUCAGCUUGGUGAACGUUGGUGGAGUCAAACUUUUUUUGACUCAUGCCUUUAAUCCCAGCGUUUCGGGAGUCAGAGGCAGGUGGAGCUCUGAGUUCGAGGCCAGCCUGCUCUACAGAGCAAGUUCCAGGAUUGUCAUGAGGUCCUCGGGACAGGAUUGCAGACAGAAUACGUGGCCUUUGUUAUCUGACCCCUAUCAGGACUGGGAAUCGUCUCUGCCCACCAAGACCCAGCGUAAUGUAUUGGAAGGACACUGGGGUGGCACAGAGGACGAGAGGAAGAGCUGCUGCAGCAGACAGGCAGGAACUAGGGCAGCAGCCGGGACCUGCUAAAACACCGAGGCUUGCGUGUUGCGGCUGCGCGGGCUGCAGCACUGGCCACCAGGCCGAGUCUGUGCGUUCG
rnacentral:lncRNA from 1 species